rnacentral:rRNA from 1 species
CCUACGGGUGGCAGCAGUGAGGAAUAUUGGUCAAUGGGCGGGAGCCUGAACCAGCCAAGCCGCGUGAGGGAAGAAGGUCCAGCGUAUUGUAAACCUCUUUUGUCAGGGAACAAAGGCGGGCACUAGUCCCCGGAUGAGGGUACCUGAAGAAAAAGCAUCGGCUAACUCCGUGCCAGCAGCCGCGGUAAUACGGAGGAGGCGAUCGUUAUCCGGAUUGAUUGGGGUUAAAGGGUGCGCAGGCGGCCUGUUAAGUCAGCGGUAAAAGCCCGGGGCUCAACCCCGGCGAGCCGUUGAAACGGGCGGGCUGGAGAUGGGGAGAAGUACGCGGAAUGCGCGGUGUAGCGGUGAAAUGCUUAGAUAUCGGGCAGAACACCGAUUGCGAAGGCAGCGGACCGGCUCCACACUGACGCUGAGGCACGAAAGCGUGGGUAUCGAACAGGAUUAGAUACCCUUGUAGUC